rnacentral:rRNA from 1 species
UACAAGAAGUCAGAGCCCGUUAAAGGGUGAUGGCGUGCCUUUUGUAGAAUGAACCGGCGAGUUACCAUAUCGUGCGAGGUUAAGUAGAAGAUACGGAGCCGAAGCGAAAGCGAGUCUGAAGAGGGCGAGAGUACGAUGCGGUAGACCCGAAACCAGGUGAUCUAGCCAUGAUCAGGUUGAAGUCAAGGUGAUACUUGAUGGAGGACCGAACCGACCCCCGUUGAAAAGUUGGCGGAUGAAUUGUGGCUAGGGGAGAAAUUCCAAUCGAACCUGGAUAUAGCUGGUUCUCCCCGAAAUAGCUUUAGGGCUAGCGUCGGAGGAAGCCAUGUGGAGGUAGAGCACUGAAUGCAUGAUGGCCCCAUCCAGGGGUACUGAAUGCAAUCAAACUCCGAAUGCCAUGUGGUACUAUCCGGCAGUCAGACUGUGGGUGAUAAGGUCCAUGGUCAAAAGGGAAACAGCCCAGACCGCCAGUUAAGGUCCCAAAAUGUAUGCUAAGUGGAAAAGGAUGUGGAGAUGCACAGACAACUAGGAGGUUGGCUCAGAAGCAGCCAUCCUUCAAAGAGUGCGUAACAGCUCACUAGUCGAGUGACUCUGCGCCGAAAAUGUACCGGGGCUAAGCAUACUACCGAAGCUGCGGAUUUACGAUUAAACGUAAGUGGUAGGGGAGCGUUCCAUGAACGUAGAAGCCGUAUCGGAAGAAGCGGUGGAGAGCAUGGAAGUGAGAAUGCCGGUGUGAGUAGCGAGAUGCAGGUGAGAAUCCUGCACACCGAUAGCCCAAGGAUUCCAGGGGAAGGUUCGUCCGCCCUGGGUAAGUCGGGACCUAAGGCGAGGCCGAAAGGCGUAGUCGAUGGAAAACAGGCAGAUAUUCCUGUACCCGCGUGAGAAUGAAGGAGUGACGGAGAAGGUUAGUGGAUCCACUUAAUGGAUUGUGGUCCAAGCGCAGGAGCAGAUACGUAGGCAAAUCCGCGUAUCAAUGCAAAGGCGUGAAGGGGAGUGAAAGCUUCGGCGAGUAGCGAAGUUCAUGAUACCAGCUUCCAAGAAAAGCUUCUAGUGUUAAUCUCAUCGCGGCCCGUACCAAAACCGACACAGGUGGGCAAGGCGAGAAGCCUGAGGUGAGCGAGAGAACUGUUGCCAAGGAACUCGGCAAAAUGACCCCGUACGUUCGCAAGAAGGGGUGCUCGAAAGAGCCGCAGUGAAGAGGCCCAAGCGACUGUUUAACUAAAACACAGCUCUCUGCAAAGUCGCAAGACGAAGUAUAGGGGGUGACUCCUGCCCGGUGCUGGAAGGUUAAGAGGAUGUGUCAUUCCGAAAGGGAGAAGCAUUGAAUUGAAGCCCCAGUGAACGGCGGCCGUAACUAUAACGGUCCUAAGGUAGCGAAAUUCCUUGUCAGGUAAGUUCUGACCCGCACGAA